CUGAAAUUAGUUGUCAGAUGGGAACUGCUUGAUGACCAGGACCAGAUGUUGUUCUGCUGGAGGAUUCCUGUCCAGAUCACCGGUUAAGGAACCCUGCAGUUUAUUGGGGAAGGGAAGAGGCACUUGGAUACAGACAGAAGAGUCAAGUGCUUUGCAUUUCUUGUUUUGAUUUACACAACUACUGUCUUCCCAAUGUCCAGAUGAAGCAGGGGGCCAGUGGCCAGGCCAAAAUGAAUCUACUCAAGACGGUUGGGAUAGUUGGAGGAAGUCUUACUGUAGUUCAGGGCAAAGGUUCAUGUAACUACUGACAAAAGUGACUGAAAGGGAACACACAUGCAGAAAAGACUUUUUCUAUUAUGAAACUGGUCCAGAAAACAUCAUGACUAUUGCUGCUGAUCGACCCUACUGUGCCUCUCAUAAUGAGAUACUGCAGGCCUCUCGCUCCCCCAGCUCUGCCAUGUCCUGGACUUUCCUUGGAUCUGCUUUUCUCACCUGGAGCCAAAAGGAAACUGAAUAGAAAUAACCUUCUGCAGCAAGUUGCUUCAAAGAAGGGAAGAGUUUCCUGAAAAUAGAUGCCAGACCAAAAUGGCAUUUGAUUUCUAUGCAGAGAUAACUUGCAUUAACCAAUGCUUUGCACUAUCUUGUGCUGGGAAAACUG